rnacentral:rRNA from 1 species
UACGAAGGGGGCUAGCGUUGCUCGGAAUCACUGGGCUUAAAGGGCGCGUAGGCGGUCCGACAAGUCAGGGGUGAAAUCCUGCAGCUUAACUGCAGAAGUGCCUUUGAUACUGUCGGUCUUGAGGGAGAUAGGGGUGUGCGGAACUCACAGUGGAGCGGUGAAAUGCGUUGAUAUUGUGAGGAACGCCGGAGGCGAAAGCGGCGCACUGGAUCUCUUCUGACGCUGAGGCGCGAAAGCUAGGGGAGCAAACGGG